UGGAGGAAUAAGGAUGACUUGGAAUAUAUACAAUCUUUAUAAGUCAUAAAGUCAUAGAAAUCAUAAGGGUUGAUGUAUGUUUAAAUCAUUAAAAUAUUGAUUGUUGAGGUUGAUUGUUGAUGAACAAUUAAACUCCAUCAAUACUUAAAUAUGUGCAUCUUGCUUGGUUAGGAUGUAGAUAUGAAAUCAAUGGAGUAUUCUAUGUGAUUUGUCUUAUAGAACAUUAGUAACGAAGUUAUGGCGAAUUUCACGAAAAUUGACGUUAAACGUCGAAAACGUAGAAAUUACGGAUUAAUAGUCGAAAGUUGUCGUGAG
rnacentral:lncRNA from 1 species